CCAAAACUAUUUGCCAAAUAUGUGAAUGAAUGAGUGGGAGCCUCAGCUCAAUCUCUGAGGGGAAUGAUUCAGAUUUGGACAUGUGUUAUGAAUGUCCUGCACUGUGUUCUAAGAAAGUAAAUGUUGCCUGUAGUGUGGAAAGGUGAUGUGGCUCUCAAAGGAAAUGAGAAGAAGGUUGGGA
rnacentral:lncRNA from 1 species